GUCAGGAUGGCCGAGUGGUCUA
rnacentral:ncRNA from 2 species